AUUGAACGCUGGCGGCAUGCCUUACACAUGCAAGUCGAACGGUAACAGGUCUUCGGAUGCUGACGAGUGGCGAACGGGUGAGUAAUACAUCGGAACGUGCCCGAUCGUGGGGGAUAACGGAGCGAAAGCUUUGCUAAUACCGCAUACGAUCUACGGAUGAAAGCAGGGGACCGCAAGGCCUUGCGCGGACGGAGCGGCCGAUGGCAGAUUAGGUAGUUGGUGGGAUAAAAGCUUACCAAGCCGACGAUCUGUAGCUGGUCUGAGAGGACGACCACGCCACACUGGGACUGAGACACGGCCCAGACUCCUACGGGAGGCAGCAGUGGGGAAUUUUGCGCGAAUGGGCGAAAGCCUGACGCAGCGACGCCGCGUGGGUGAUGAAGUUCUUCGGAACGUAAAGCCCUGUCAGGAGGGACGAAGCUCUGACGGUACCUCCAAAGGAACGCCCCGGCUAACUCCCGUGCCCAGCAGCCGCGGUAAGCUAGUCUACG
rnacentral:rRNA from 1 species